GUCCCUGUAGCGCAAUGGAUAGCGCAUUGAACCUCUAAUCCAAAGGUCGUGGGUUCAAAUCCCACCUGAAAUG
rnacentral:tRNA from 1 species